CAUAAAGGUUUGAUCCUGACCUUAAAAUCAAUUCUUACCUAACCUACACAUGCAAGUCUCCGCCCCCCUGUGAAAACGCCCCCUAACUCCCAUCCCGAGUCAGAGGAGCAGGUAUCAGGCACACCUGCCCAAGACACCUAGCCAUGCCACACCCACAAGGGUCCUCAGCAGUGAUUAAUAUUGAACAUUAGCGUUAGCUAGAUUCAGUUAAGGUAAACAGGGCCGGCAAAUCUGGUGCCAGCCGCCGCGGUUACACCAGCGACCCAAAUUGAUUUAUGCCGGCGUAAAGAGUGGUUAAAAAUCUUGAUUUAAAACUAGAGCUAAACAUAGGUCUAAUUGUUAAAAAUUUACCUAAAGGAAACUCACCAACGAAAGUUGCUCUACUCUAUCCUACUUGAAUCCACGAAAGCCAGGACAUAAACUGGGAUUAGAUACCCCAUUAUACCUCGCCGUAAACUUUAACUUACAACGCAAUCGCCAGGGAACUACGAGCCAAGCUUAAAACCCAAAGGACUUGACGGUGCCCCAUAACCCCCUAGAGGAGCCUGUCCUAUAAUCGAUGAUCCCCGUUUAACCUUACCGCUCUUGGCUUAUUCAGCCUGUAUACUUCCGUCGCCAGCUUACCGCAUGAGCGAAACUCAGUUAGCCUAAUGUCUUCCUACAGUAUCGUCAAUACGUCAGGUCAAAGUGCAGCAAAUAGAGCGGAAAGAGAUUGGCUACACUUUUUAGCAUAAAAGAUACGAAAGACAACAAAUGAAACUCUGUCAGAAGGUGGAUUUAGAAGUAAAAUGAAUUCAUUAUACUCAUUUUAACAAGGCACUGGAGCGUGUACACACCGCCCGUCACCCUCUUCAAUACAAUUUUAUUAGUACUUAACAAAAUCUACCACCCUAAGAAGAGGCAAGUCGUAACAUGGUAAGUAUACCGGAAGGUGUACUUGGAAA
rnacentral:ncRNA from 1 species